rnacentral:rRNA from 1 species
GUGGGGAAUUUUGGACAAUGGGGGAAACCCUGAUCCAGCGACGCCGCGUGAAGGACGAAGGCCUUCGGGUUGUAAACUUCUUUUGGAGGGGACGAAUAAAUUGACGGUACCCUCAGAAAAAGCCACGGCUAACUACGUGCCAGCAGCCGCGGUAAUACGUAGGUGGCGAGCGUUACUCGGAAUUACUAGGCGUAAAGCGUAUGUAGGUGGUCAGAUAAGUCUAUGGUGAAAUUUCCUGGCUCAACUGGGAAGGGACAUAGAUACUAUCUGGCUUGAGUGUGGGAGGGGAAGACGGAAUUCCUGGUGUAGCGGUGAAAUGCGUAGAUAUCAGGAGGAACACCGAUGGCGAAAGCAGUCUUCUGGCCCAAUACUGACACUGAGGUACGAAAGCUAGGGUAGCAAACAGGAUUAGAAACCCGUGUAGUCC